CCCUUCCGGCGGAAGCGCGGGCGGGCGGCGCGCGGGCCAGAGCGGCUCCUAUUGUUGCUGUGUCAUAGGGGCGCGGCGGCGGCCCCUGGCGGCGGCGUCCGGAACAGCGCGGCGGGCGCCGACCGAGCCGGGGCGGGGGGGGGGGCGUUGGAGUGCACACCCCCACCGUGGCGGGAGAGCUGGUGCACCUGUCGCAGAUUCACGGCCGGAGCGACACGCCAGGUCCCAAGAUGUGCGGGAAACAGCCCUCACGUCAGGGGAUCUAGGACGCUGGGGCUGGGGAGGGCCGGCUUCGCGACCCCAGGGCUGUGUCGCCGAAUCACAGCCCUGGACGUGGGGGUCCAGAGUCAGCGCCCAAGACACCAGCGGUGCUCGUCUGGGGGGCGAUGGAGAUGCCGCGCUGCCUCCUGUUCCCCGUGACACUGCUGGCGUGGCUGCCCCCAUUCUCCCCCGGGGGGUCUCCCUACUCCCCCAUUCUCCCCUGGGGAUCCCCCGUUCUCCCGUGAUGAGUGCUAGGGGCCCCCCACAUUCCCUCUGUGUGUGUGGUUCCCAGAGGCUAACGUGUGCUCACAACAGAAUGAAGAGGCCACUGUCCCAGCGCAACCCGAUGUUCACAAGGACCGGGUGCCCUCCGUUUCCACCCUGUGCUCCGCUGGGACACAGUAACCACGCGGGGCACACCCACCCAGAGCCCCGGGCCCUCCCAGCCAGCACCAGAGACCCCUCCACGAGCAAGGCCACUCUGCACCAUGCUGCCUGACAGUUUGUCACCUGCGUGUCACCUCUGUUAAGCUUUUCACAAAAAGUAUCAAAGUGGAAGGUGGUUUCGUUUCGAAGAUUUAUUCACGUUGACGCAGAUUUUUUAUUUUAGAGAGAGUGAGCACGGGCAGGAGGACGGACGGAGAGGAUCUCCAGCAGAUUCCCCGAGUCCCCGCCGAGCGGGAGCCUGAUGUAGGGCUCGAUCCCAGGACCCCGCAAUCAGGAUUAAAUGCCAACAGAGCAAACCACACACAGGAGCUCCCCGGGGCCCCAGAGACCACAUGGGAGAGGGGCAUGGCCCUGAGCCCACGACAGCAAGUGCUCUGCUGGUGACACUCAAGGACACCAAAGACAACGGUGGCUGCCUGAACACAGGCCAGCGGGCAGGAAGAGUCAGGAAAAGUUAAGAAUUGGCCACAGGAGGCCGCAGGGAAACCAAUGUUGGACCAGAAGAGCGUGGUUCCCCCCAGCCUGUGGCCUCAAGGGGCUCACCGGAGCACUUCCUCUCUUUGAGCUGGGGGCCUGUGUCUGAGGCUGGUUCCGUGGCUCGUGUGCAGGAAGGACAGUGGUCGCAGGGCAGACGAGUGUGGCCAAGGCCCCUGGGUGUGCCCGCCCCUGACUGUGGGGUGCUGUGGGGGACAAGGCAGCGGGGUGGGUGGGUCCAGUGGCUCCUGCACAAGGGGUGGGCAGGGCACGGGGACCAUGGCGCCUGGACACAUCACCAAAGGGGCACAGCCAGCAAGAGGCACAGGAGCAGAGAGCCCACGCCAUUCUUCAUAAGAGAAACGCAAAUUAAAACACAAAGAUGAGAAGGGCAGGAAGCCCGAGAAGGGAGCGCGACAGGACUAAGUGCUGAGGCCAGGGCUGCCCGCAACCGCACGGUUCACUCGGUCCGCACGGUUCGCACAGUCCGCACGGUCCGCACGGUUCCGCAGCGGGGUUCCCACGAUCGUCUUUCUUUCAACGAUCCUCUUUUUUCGGAGGGAAUGGUAGGUUUAGUCCCCAGGUGAGCAGGAAGUACCGAGUGCUCCCAUGUAGCCCUCCGCACGCACCUCCUCCUGCCGUCAGCAUCCCCGCCGGCAGGCGCGCGUGUGACAGCCCAAGGACCCGCGAGAACACGCAGUGUCACCAGUGGCCCAUCUCCCUGCCCGCCACCUGUGCGUCUGGACUCACGCAUGACGCGGACCCACCAUCACAGUGUCGCACGGUGUGGUCUCACCGCUGGGAGUCCCCUGCCCUCCUCCCGUCCAUCCCUCUGUCCUCCCUAACCUCUGGCAAGCACUGACCACUUCUUUCCAAUGUUUUUUGUGGUGGUAGGAUACACAUGACGUCAAAUUCACCAUCUUAACCCUCAGUGAGCCGUUCAGUGACGGAAACACUCCACGAUGUUGUGCCGCAUCAGCAUCCUGUCACCUUUCGAGACACCAACCCCGCCCCCCGCCCCUGUCGCCACCAUCCUACUGCCCCUCACGUUCUGAUGACCCUCGUAUGUGACGUCGAUGGGAGUCCUGCAGUCUUUGUCUUUCCGUGAGGGGCUUGUCUCGCUGAGCGGGGCGUCCUCGAGGUCUGCCCACGUGGCAGCACAUGUCUGGGUCCCCCCCACCCUGGCUGGCGUAGAGCACGUGGUAUUCAUCCGUCCAUCCCUGGCGGACCCGGGCAGCCCCCGUAACUCAGCAGUGGUGGGGAACACUGCUGUCGGCGUGGGCGGACAGACAUCUCUUCGGGACCUUGCUUUCCGAUCUUUCCAGCACAGCAGCACAGUGGGAUUUCCGGAUCCUCUGGUAACGCUGUGGGUAAUGUUCUCCGGAGCUGCGAUCCUGUCUUCCACAGCAGCUGCCCUGCUCUGGAUUCCCGGCAGCAGCCCGUUCCGGCCUGACCCGUGCAGUCGCGGUGAGCUCAGAUUUGCAUUUGCCACGUGAUUCGCGAGGCCGGGAGUCUUCUCACGGACUUACUGGCCCUUUGUGCAUCUUCUGUGCACAGGGUCUUCUGCCUGUUUUUUAGAUCAGGUUUUUGUUUGCUUAGUUUGAGAAAUUCCCUGCAUAUUCUGGAUGUCAUUCUCCUGGCAGAUGUUGUGUUUGUCUCUCUUUUCUCCCAUUCUGUGGGUUGCAUUUUUACCUGAUGCUACUCUGAUGCACAAACAUCUAGUUUCCAUCUUGCCCAAUUUGUUUAUGUUUUCUGUUGUUACCUGUGCCUUCAAUGUUCUACCUAAGAAAUCACUGCCAAGUCCUACGUCACUAAGCUUGUGCCCUAUGCUUUCUUCUACAAGUUUUAUGGUUGGGGCGCCUGGGUGGCUCAGUCGCUGGGCAUCUGCCUUCGGCUCAGGUCGUGAUCCCAGGGUCCUGGGAUCGAGCAUCAGGGUCCCUGCUCAGUGGGGAGUCUGCUUCUCCCUCUGCCCCACCAACUUGUGUUUAUUCUCAGUCAAAUAAUGAAAUAUUUUAAAAAAUAAAUUAAAAAAAUAAAAA